UAGAAAAUAGUGUAAUGGAAGCACUGAGAGUUUUGAUCUCUCCAGCUGGGGUUCAAGUCCCCUUUUUCUAA
rnacentral:tRNA from 1 species